ACAUCAGUGAGGUACAUCCUUACCUGUUACCUUAGAAAUAAGGUUUCAGAACAUGAUGAUUGGAUUCAAUGAAUACAUGAUUAUAUUCUGUAUUUGUACUGGGAUAGCAACCCCUUUACGAGUCCUGUCUGAC